UACAUAGGGGGCAAGCGUUAUCCGGAAUUAUUGGGUGUAAAGGGUGCGUAGACGGAGAAACAAGUUGGUUGUGAAAUCCCUCGGCUCAACCGAGGAACUGCAACCAAAACUACUUCCCUUGAGUGUCGGAGAGGAAAGUGGAAUUCCUAGUGUAGCGGUGAAAUGCGUAGAUAUUAGGAGGAACACCAGUGGCGAAGGCGACUUUCUGGACGAUAACUGACGUUGAGGCACGAAAGUGUGGGGAGCAAACAGG
rnacentral:rRNA from 1 species